UACGUAGGCAGCGAGCGUUGUUCGGAAUUACUGGGCGUAAAGGGCUCGUAGGUGGCCAACUAAGUCGGACGUGAAAUCCCUCAGCUUAACUGGGGAACUGCGUCCGAUACUGGAUGGCUUGAGUUUGGGAGAGGGAUGCGGAAUUCCAGGUGUAGCGGUGAAAUGCGUAGAUAUCUGGAGGAACACCGGUGGCGAAGGCGGCAUCCUGGACCAACACUGACACUGAGGCGCGAAAGCUAGGGGAGCAAACAGG
rnacentral:rRNA from 1 species